CGGCAGUACGGCAGCUACCAUGCAGUCGAGCGAACCCUUCGGGGUUAGCGGCAGACGGGUGAGUAACGCGUGGGAACCUACCCAGUGGUACGGAAUAGCCCAGGGAAACUUGGGGUAAUACCGUAUACGCCCGAGAGGGGAAAGAUUUAUCGCCAUUGGAUGGGCCCGCGUCGGAUUAGCUAGUUGGUGGGGUAACGGCCUACCAAGGCGACGAUCCGUAGCUGGUCUGAGAGGAUGAUCAGCCACACUGGGACUGAGACACGGCCCAGACUCCUACGGGAGGCAGCAGUGGGGAAUCUUGGACAAUGGGCGAAAGCCUGAUCCAGCCAUGCCGCGUGAGUGACGAAGGUCUUCGGAUUGUAAAGCUCUUUUGGCGGGGAAGAUAAUGGCGGUACCCGCAGAAUAAGCCCCGGCUAACUUCGUGCCAGCAGCCGCGGUAAUACGAAGGGGGCUAGCGUUGUUCGGAAUCACUGGGCGUAAAGCGCACGUAGGCGGAUUUGCCAGUCAGGGGUGAAAUCCCGGGGCUCAACCUCGGAACUGCCUCUGAUACAGUAAGUCUAGAGUCCGGGAGAGGUGAGUGGAAUUCCUAGUGUAGAGGUGAAAUUCGUAGAUAUUAGGAGGAACACCAGUGGCG
rnacentral:rRNA from 1 species